rnacentral:misc_RNA from 1 species
AAGUCGUAACAAGGUUUCCGUAGGUGAACCUGCGGAAGGAUCAUUAACACGUAUCCAAACGUUAAACCCCCCUGUGAACCUUCACCUGUACUCGUACGUCCGUUAGAAAAAGCAGCAAUCCCUGGUAAAUCAUCGCCGAACAGUUUUCGAUUCAGGGACGUCUGCAAGGAGCGUGCAUGUUGUGCGAAGCAAGUGGCCUGGCAUCCCCAAGCAGUUAGUGUCUGAAAGUGUCAUUACCUGUGUAAGGAUGACGCAGUCACGAUCGUUGGAGGCCCACACGGCCGACGACCGGGUCGCUGGGCGCAAGCCCCUACAGUCGACCAAAAACCGAACAACUGUUAACAAUGGAUAUCUUGGUUCUC